rnacentral:rRNA from 1 species
ACUCCUACGGGAGGCAGCAGUGGGGAAUAUUGCACAAUGGGGGAAACCCUGAUGCAGCCAUGCCGCGUGUGUGAAGAAGGCCUUCGGUUGUAAAGCACUUUCAGUAGGGAGGAAGGUAGUGUAGUUAACACCUGCAUUAUUUGACGUUACCUACAGAAGAAGCACCGGCUAACUCCGUGCCAGCAGCCGCGGUAAUACGGAGGGUGCGAGCGUUAAUCGGAAUUACUGGGCGUAAAGCGCAUGCAGGCGGCCUGUUAAGUCAGAUGUGAAAGCCCGGGGCUUAACCUCGGAAUUGCAUUUGAAACUGGCAGGCUAGAGUCUUGUAGAGGGGUUAGGAAUUUCAGGUGUAGCGGUGAAAUGCGUAGAGAUCUGAAGGAAUCCAAGUGGCGAAGGCGGCCCCUGGACAAAGACUGACGCUCAGAUGCGAAAGCGUGGGAGCAAACAGGAUUAGAUACCCCUGGUAGACUGUCA